rnacentral:misc_RNA from 1 species
GACAACCAGAUACAGGUGCAAAUAGUGCUAGAAACAUGUUGAUGCCUGUGGUUCAAUUAUCAUUACCGGCAAAAUAAUGAUAAUAAUACAACGCACUGUAGCUGCAGGUGGGGAUUGAGAUGGAUCAAUACAUGUUCUACAUACAACAAGUUGUGCCCUUGGGAUCUCUUCUUAGUUUUUCACAUAAUGCCAGUACGUAGUCUGUGACUGAAGCAGACUGCAGACACUGGUUUUGAUUCUUGCCGAUACUCGACCAGAAAUGUGAGCAUGCAAUGAUGCGCAUAUAAUAGAGAGAAAGAAUUUGCUUCUUCAACACAUAUUUGUCCUUCUGUAGUCCCACACUCACAAGCAUCUUCCCCAUCUCCAAAAUAAAGGGUAAAGUUUGUGGCAAAAGAUAUUUGUGGUUGUUGAAGUUUCUGCCAUGUUUAACCAAAAUGAAUACCAUUCCCUCAAGAAGGAGAUAUUAGUAAAGGUAAGCCAUUGUUUUAAAAAAAGGACA